rnacentral:rRNA from 1 species
UGGGGAAUAUUGCACAAUGGACGGAAGUUUGAUGCAGCGACGCCGCGUGGAGGGUGUAGGCCUCCGGGUUGUGAACUCCUUUUUCUCUCGAAAAAGGCACAGUUUUGGCUGUGUUGAUGGUAGUGGGGGAAGAAGCGCCGGCUAACUACGUGCCAGCAGCCGCGGUAAUACGUAGGGCGCGAGCGUUGUCUGGAUUUAUUGGGAGUAAAGAGCUCGUAGGUGGUUCGUCGCGUCUGUCGUGAAAGCCAGCAGCUUAACUGUUGGUCUGCGGUGGGUACGGGCGGGCUUGAGUGCGGUAGGGGUGACUGGAAUUCCUGGUGUAGCGGUGGAAUGCGCAGAUAUCAGGAGGAACACCGAUGGCGCAGGCAGGUCACUGGGCCGUUACUGACACUGAGGAGCGAAAGCGUGGGGAGCGAACAG